rnacentral:lncRNA from 1 species
AACAACAACAACCGUAAUAUAUUCAAUCAAAACCAACACGAUUUAACACAAGAAUCCAAACAAUAACCAACCGAAACAAAUAACAAACACAACUACAAAAAAGAAAAUGAAAAUCAGCUAUUUUUUACAAAACAAAAGAUAUACAAAAAUUGUAUUGAUUUAUAGAAAUUGGAUGAUGGAUAGACAAUGACAGAACAAAAACACAUUACCUAAAUGCCCCAAGUCCGACUACACAUGGCAAAAUCGGGAAUCAAUAACCAAAAGUUCAAAAAUGAAUUAAAAAACGUAAUGAUUAACUUUAAUCGACUACUGAUAAUAGUCGAUUAAACCUUAAUCGACUACUGAGCAUAGUCGAUUAAAACUUAACAUAGUCGAUUAGGGGUCUAGCAUGCGCGACUUUCUCUGCCCCGCCGGAUCUAACAAAAAACUCUAGAUCUGUCUUUCCAUUGUGACCAUACCGUCGUCACACCACACCAUCACCAUCCCCACCAUCGUCACCACAAAAACACCGUCUAAUUUCCACCCGCAUGGAGACUGAUCUCAUUCUUCUCGGACGACAAUAAUAGAUCGACUCUCAUGGCGAGAAGGGGCUGCAGUUGCUCACGACAGCAGCAUCAUGGUGGUUCAGGCCUCGUGGAGCGCGGCCAUGAGGGCAUAGAAGAUAUGAGGCGCCGACAAUUCUUUGUCCGACCACUUGCUUAUGUGAGAGAGAAGAAGGAUG